ACCUUACUGGUGUAUCGGUUAACAUGGCGGAUUCUCAAUCUUGGUUGAUCAAGUUUCCGCAGCGCAGGGUUCAACUCCCUGGUAGGGUA